rnacentral:rRNA from 1 species
AACAGGAUUAGAUACCCUGGUAGUCCACGCCCUAAACGAUGUCUACUAGUUGUUGGUGGAGUAAAAUCCAUGAGUAACGCAGCUAACGCGUGAAGUAGACCGCCUGGGGAGUACGGUCGCAAGAUUAAAACUCAAAUGAAUUGACGGGGGCCCGCACAAGCGGUGGAUUAUGUGGAUUAAUUCGAUGCAACGCGAAAAACCUUACCUGGCCUUGACAUGUAACGAACUUUCCAGAGAUGGAUUGGUGCUCGAAAGAGAACGUUAACACAGGUGCUGCAUGGCUGUCGUCAGCUCGUGUCGUGAGAUGUUGGGUUAAGUCCCGCAACGAGCGCAACCCUUGCCAAUAAUUGCCAUCAUUUAGUUGGGCACUUUAUUGGGACUGCCGAUGACAAAUCGGAGGAAGGUGGGGAUGACGUCAAGUCCUCAUGGCCCUUAUGGCCAGGGCUUCACACGUAAUACAAUGGUCGGUACAGAGGGUUGCCAAGCCGCAAGGUGGAGCCAAUCCCAGAAAGCCGAUCGUAGUCCGGAUUGAGGUCUGCAACUCGACCUCAUGAAGUCGGAAUCGCUAGUAAUCGCGGAUCAGCAUGUCGCGGUGAAUACGUUCCCGGGCCUUGUACACACCGCCCGUCACACCAUGGGAGUGGGUUUUACCAGAAGUAGGUAGUCUAACCGCAAGGAGGACGCUUACCACGGUAGUAUUCAUGACUGGGGUGAAGUCGUAACAAGGUAACC